rnacentral:rRNA from 1 species
UACAGAGGGUGCGAGCGUUGUCCGGAAUCACUGGGCGUAAAGGGCGCGUAGGUGGUGGCUUAAGCGUGCGGUGAAAGCUCGGGGCUCAACUCCGAGUCGGCCGUGCGAACUGGGCUCACUGGAGCAUAGUAGAGGCAGGUGGAAUUCCGGGUGUAGCGGUGGAAUGCGUAGAGAUCCGGAAGAACACCAGUGGCGAAGGCGGCCCGCUGGGCAGUGGCUGACGCUGAGGCGCGACAGCGUGGGGAGCAAACAGG